rnacentral:misc_RNA from 1 species
AAGUCGUAACAAGGUCUCCGUAGGUGAACCUGCGGAGGGAUCAUUACACAAAUAUGAGGGCGGACUGGAACCUCUCGGGGUUACAGCCUUGCUGAAUUAUUCACCCUUCGUCUUUGCGUUACUUCUUGUUUCCUUGGUUGGGCUUGGUCGCCCACCACUAGGACAAACAUAAACCUUUUGUAAUUGCAAUCAGCGUCAGUAACAAAUUAAUAAUUACAA